AAAAGUAAAUUCAUUCCUGUUCUGUCUAGCGGUAUCACAGCAGAGCUUGCUCUCGGGUGACGAGCGGCGGACGGGUGAGUAAUGUCUGGGAAACUGCCUGAUGGAGGGGGAUAACUACUGGAAACGGUAGCUAAUACCGCAUAAUGUCGCAAGACCAAAGUGGGGGACCUUCGGGCCUCAUGCCAUCAGAUGUGCCCAGAUGGGAUUAGCUAGUAGGUGGGGUAACGGCUCACCUAGGCGACGAUCCCUAGCUGGUCUGAGAGGAUGACCAGCCACACUGGAACUGAGACACGGUCCAGACUCCUACGGGAGGCAGCAGUGGGGAAUAUUGCACAAUGGGCGCAAGCCUGAUGCAGCCAUGCCGCGUGUGUGAAGAAGGCCUUCGGGUUGUAAAGCACUUUCAGCGGGGAGGAAGGCGAUAAGGUUAAUAACCUUGUCGAUUGACGUUACCCGCAGAAGAAGCACCGGCUAACUCCGUGCCAGCAGCCGCGGUAAUACG
rnacentral:rRNA from 1 species